AUUGAACGCUGGCGGCAGGCUUAACACAUGCAAGUCGAGCGGAGAUGAGGUGCUUGCACCUUAUCUUAGCGGCGGACGGGUGAGUAAUGCUUAGGAAUCUACCUAUUAGUGGGGGACAACAUUCCGAAAGGAAUGCUAAUACCGCAUACGUCCUACGGGAGAAAGCAGGGGAUCUUCGGACCUUGCGCUAAUAGAUGAGCCUAAGUCGGAUUAGCUAGUUGGUGGGGUAAAGGCCUACCAAGGCGACGAUCUGUAGCGGGUCUGAGAGGAUGAUCCGCCACACUGGGACUGAGACACGGCCCAGACUCCUACGGGAGGCAGCAGUGGGGAAUAUUGGACAAUGGGGGGAACCCUGAUCCAGCCAUGCCGCGUGUGUGAAGAAGGCCUUAUGGUUGUAAAGCACUUUAAGCGAGGAGGAGGCUACUGAGACUAAUACUCUUGGAUAGUGGACGAUACUCGCAGAAUAAGCACCGGCUAACUCUGUGCCAGCCGCCGCAGUAAAAC
rnacentral:rRNA from 1 species